GGUCACACUGGCGCGCAGCAAGAUGGCUUGUUUACACCAACGCCUAUCGAUAUCGAAUAGUGACCGUUUAGACUAGCCAGAUUGUUUGUGCACCCAAUACACAAUAUAUCGGAUUUGGAGCGGUGGUUAUGCGAUGCGAUUGUAUAGUGGAUCACGGCUAUUUUACCAUCGACAUGUAAAGAAUACUGCAUACUUUUGGGCGCGAUAAGACCAGUGCUCCAAAGCACCUCAUUAAU
ensembl:ncRNA lncRNA:CR44209 long non-coding RNA:CR44209